UACAGAGGUCCCAAGCGUUGCUCGGAAUCACUGGGCGUAAAGGGUGCGUAGGCGGGUCUUUAAGUCAGGGGUGAAAUCCUGGAGCUCAACUCCAGAACUGCCUUUGAUACUGAGGAUCUUGAGUUCGGGAGAGGUGAGUGGAACUGCGAGUGUAGAGGUGAAAUUCGUAGAUAUUCGCAAGAACACCAGUGGCGAAGGCGGCUCACUGGCCCGAUACUGACGCUGGGGCACGAAAGCGUGGGGAGCAAACAGG
rnacentral:rRNA from 1 species